GUUCCCUUUAGGGAAGUAAAAGCAGAGCAGCGGCUCUUUGGUGGUUGUUUACGAAGCACAAACUAAAAACCGUAAACUCAAAAGCCCCAGAGGCCCAGAGAUCACGACGAGGGGGUCGGAGUUCAUCUUCUUCAUUCGUCCAAACCUCCUUCAUGUCCACUUGUGUUGGUUAAGGAGGAACCGGACAGCACGCUGCUCUCCUUCAAGCGACGCACGCGUACAUGCACCGAAAGGCGGAGAAGCUUCCAUGUGCUUAACCCAGUCGAUGCCUGCCUGAGUAAAUGCAUUGAGAGCACCUUCAGCCCACACAGGGACCGAUCUCAUUAUAAAGAUGGAGUAUUGGUACACGGGUUGAGAGGAAGCCCUGGAGGCUCAGAUCAGCCAAUCAACGAGGAGGCUGCAGAGGAGGAGCAGCAAGACACACACAUCUGUCUAUCAAUCCAUCUAUCCAGCAGUUGUCAAACGUAACACACACACACACACACGCUCAUCGGUAUGCAGGAGGGCACCCUUCAAGCAUUUAGGCUUCACACACAGACACACACUUCACAGUAGGGAUCUCCGGGCUUAUUCCACAGAGAGGGUCCUGAUGUUGGCAGGUCGGCUCUAGUGGAUAAAGAUUUGCUGCACCUCUUGAUGCAACGCGUCCAAAACAUUCAGACCACAUGCUGGCUUCUCACAGCGCGUCGAGGCUGGUUCUAUUAGCAGCUGGCAGCACAGCGGGACACAAUUACAGCAUUAAUACAAUCCAGUUAAUGUAAUGCACAUCGUUAUGCAAUCCAGCGCAACGGCACCGCAACAGUUACUUCAGCCGCCAGGCUCGUCGUGGUGGAUCUUCUCGGUGUCAGAAAAAGAAGCCUUGUGCUAACAAAGAUGCC
ensembl:lncRNA